rnacentral:rRNA from 1 species
UACGGGGGGGGCAAGCGUUGUUCGGAAUUACUGGGCGUAAAGGGCUCGUAGGCGGCCAACUAAGUCAGACGUGAAAUCCCUCGGCUUAACCGGGGAACUGCGUCUGAUACUGGAUGGCUUGAAUCCGGGAGAGGGAUGCAGAAUUCCAGGUGUAGCGGUGAAAUGCGUAGAUAUCUGGAGGAAUACCGGUGGCGAAGGCGGCAUCCUGGACCGACAUUGACGCUGAGGAGCGAAAGCCAGGGGAGCAAACGGG